UUCAUGACUGGGGUGAAGUCGUAACAAGGUAGCCCUAGGGGAACCUGGGGCUGGAUCACCUCCUUA
rnacentral:ncRNA from 1 species